rnacentral:rRNA from 1 species
AAGUCGAGCGAAUCGAUGGGAGCUUGCUCCCUGAGAUUAGCGGCGGACGGGUGAGUAACACGUGGGCAACCUGCCUAUAAGACUGGGAUAACUUCGGGAAACCGGAGCUAAUACCGGAUACGUUCUUUUCUCGCAUGAGAGAAGAUGGAAAGACGGUUUCGGCUGUCACUUAUAGAUGGGCCCGCGGCGCAUUAGCUAGUUGGUGAGGUAAUGGCUCACCAAGGCGACGAUGCGUAGCGACCUGAGAGGGUGAUCGGCCACACUGGGACUGAGACACGGCCCAGACUCCUACGGGAGGCAGCAGUAGGGAAUCUUCCGCAAUGGACGAAAGUCUGACGGAGCAACGCCGCGUGAACGAAGAAGGCCUUCGGGUCGUAAAGUUCUGUUGUUAGGGAAGAACAAGUACCAGAGUAACUGCUGGUACCUUGACGGUACCUAACCAGAAAGCCACGGCUAACUACGUGCCAGCAGCCGCGGUAAUACGUAGGUGGCAAGCGUUGUCCGGAAUUAUUGGGCGUAAAGCGCGCGCAGGUGGUUCUUUAAGUCUGAUGUGAAAGCCCACGGCUCAACCGUGGAGGGUCAUUGGAAACUGGGGAAC